UUAGGAGUUGCUACUAAAUUUCUUGAUAAUAUUGUGGCUAAUUAUUCUCAAUGGCACACCGAAAGAUCUUCUAGUAAAAAAGUGCAUGCUAUAGAAGAAAUCAAUGUUUUGAGUGGAAAGAUGGAUGAACUUAUGAAGAUGUUUGCUACUAAAAAUACUCCUCUUGAUCCCAAUGAUAUGCCUUUGUCUUCCUUGAUUGAGAAUAAUAAUGAAUCUAUGGAUGUGAAUUUUGUUGGUAGGAAUAGUUUUCGAAACAAUGCUUAUAGAGGACAUUUUAAUGCUAGACCGUUCCCUAGUAAUCCCUCUAAUAAUUAUGGAAAUUCCUACAAUAAUUCUUAUGGUAAUUUUAAUAAGAUGCCCUCUGAUUUUGAGAAUAUUGUGAAAGAAUUUAUGAUUUCUCAAAAGAAUUUUAAUGCUUUGCUUGAAGAAAAAUUGCUUAAAGUUGAUGAUUUGGCUAGGAACGUUGAUAGACUUUCGCUUGAUGUUAAUUCUCUUAAACUUGGAUCUUCUUCUCCUAAGCAUGAUAUCAAUGAGUCUCUCAAAGUAAUGAGAAUUUCCAUUGACGAGUGCAAGGAAAGAACCGCUAGAUUGCAUGCUAAAAAAUAA
rnacentral:rRNA from 1 species